rnacentral:rRNA from 1 species
GACGAACGCUGGCGGCGUGCUUAACACAUGCAAGUCGAACGGUGAAGCGCCUUCCUUUUUGGUGGGUGUGGAUGAGUGGCGAACGGGUGAGUAACACGUGAGUAACCUGCCCCCUUCUUCUGGAUAACCGCAUGAAAGUGUGGCUAAUACGGGAUAUUCUGGGUCUGUCGCAUGAUGGGUCUGUGAAAGAUAUUGUGUCGGUGGGGGAUGGGCUGGUGGCGUAUCAGCUUGUUGGUGGGGUGAUGGCCUACCAAGGCGGUGACGCGUAGCUGGUCUGAGAGGAUGAUCAGCCACACUGGAAGUGAGACACGGUCCAGACUCCUACGGGAGGCAGCAGUGGGGAAGAUUGGAGAAUGGGCGCAAGCCUGAUCCAGCCAUACCGCGUGGGUGAAGAAGGCCUUCGGGUUGUAGAGCCCUUUUGUUGGGAGAGAAACGCAGCAGGUUAAUACGCCGCUGUUCUGACGGUACCCAAAGAAUAAGCACCGGCUAACUUCGUG